rnacentral:rRNA from 1 species
CAGCAGCCGCCGCGGUAAUACGUAGGGUGCAAGCGUUAAUCGGAAUUACUGGGCGUAAAGCGUGCGCAGGCGGUUAUAUAAGACAGAUGUGAAAUCCCCGGGCUCAACCUGGGAACUGCAUUUGUGACUGUAUAGCUAGAGUACGGCAGAGGGGGAUGGAAUUCCGCGUGUAGCAGUGAAAUGCGUAGAUAUGCGGAGGAACACCGAUGGCGAAGGCAAUCCCCUGGGCCUGUACUGACGCUCAUGCACGAAAGCGUGGGGAGCAAACAGGAUUAGAUACCCGUGUAGUCCCUGUCUCUUAUAC